GCGAAAUAGCUCAGUUGGGAGAGCGUCAGACUAUAGGUCGACAGUCCCUGGUUCGAUCCCGGGAUACGACA
rnacentral:tRNA from 1 species